UACGUAGGGUGCGAGCGUUGUCCGGAAUUACUGGGCGUAAAGAGUUCGUAGGCGGUUUGUCGCGUCGUUCGUGAAAACUUGGGGCUUAACUCCAAGCGUGCGGGCGAUACGGGCAGACUUGAGUACUACAGGGGAGACUGGAAUUCCUGGAGUAGCGGUGAAAUGCGCAGAUAUCAGGAGGAACACCGGUGGCGAAGGCGGGUCUCUGGGUAGUAACUGACGCUGAGGAACGAAAGCGUGGGUAGCGAACAGG
rnacentral:rRNA from 1 species